rnacentral:sRNA from 1 species
UAGACAUCCCUAGUGACAACACUUUUAUUUUUAUUCCCAGAAGAGGCUCAGCCUGGAGAAUGAUGGGGUAAGCUUUCCCUACGCUGCCCUAUCAAUCUGCUUUAAUCCUGCCCUUGUGAGGGUGAGAGGGUUAUUCACUUUCAGUGCCCAUUCAAUCCUGGUCAUUU